rnacentral:rRNA from 1 species
AACGAACGCUGGCGGCGCGUCUUAAGCAUGCAAGUCGGACGGCAAGGGUAGCAAUACCCCUAGAGUGGCGGACUGGUGAGUAACGCGUGGGUGACCUGCCCUUGAGUUGGGGAUAGCCAUUAGAAAUAGUGGAUAAUACCGAAUACGAUCGCUGUCACUGUGGUGAUGCGAUGAAAGGAGCUACGGCUCCACUCGAGGAUGGGCCCGCGUCCCAUUAGCUAGUUGGUGAGGUAACGGCCCACCAAGGCGACGAUGGGUAUCCGGCCUGAGAGGGUGUACGGACACAUUGGGACUGAGAUACGGCCCAAACUCCUACGGGAGGCAGCAGCUAAGAAUAUUCCGCAAUGGACGAAAGUCUGACGGAGCGACGCCGCGUGGAUGAAGAAGGCCGAAAGGUUGUAAAAUCCUUUUGCUGAUGAAGAAUAAGUGGAGUAGGGAAUGAUUCCAUGAUGACAUUAGUCGGUGAAUAAGCCCCGGCUAACUACGUGCCAGCAGCCGCGGUAACACGUAGGGGGCAAGCGUUGUUCGGAAUUAUUGGGCGUAAAGGGCAUGUAGGCGGUUUUGUAAGCCUGGUGUGAAAUCCUGCAGCUUAACUGUAGAAUUGCAUUGGGUACUGCAAGACUUGAAUCACAGAGGGGAAACUAGAAUUCCAUGUGUAGGGGUGGAAUCUGUAGAUAUCUGGAAGAAUACCGGUGGCGAAGGCGGGUUUCUAGCUGAUGAUUGACGCUGAGGUGCGAAAGUGCGGGGAGCAAACAGGAUUAGAUACCCUGGUAGUCCGCACCGUAAACGAUGUACACUAGGUGUCGGGGCAUGAGUCUCGGUGCCAAAGCUAACGUGUUAAGUGUACCGCCUGGGAAGUAUGCUCGCAAGGGUG